CCAGCCAGAUGAUGCAGGUGGUGUACAUGGUGAAGCCAAUAAACUUUGCCUCGUUGAAGUUCUCGGGGCACUUCCUGGUCUUGAAGGCAUAUCUACAUGGGAGACAUUCAUAUUCAUAUUCAGAAAGCAGCGGUGGCGAGUAAGCAAUUGUGGAGUGAAGUAUUUGGGCCAGAAAUCAAUUUACAACUCCAGCCCGUAUAUGGCCAGCCAGUAUUGAGCCACCCUUAAAUGCAGUUUCAGAUUUAUUUUUUUCAACACACAGCCUUGUUUUCCAAUUGCACACCGAUGCGGGAUUCCAUUCAUCACACACACACACACACACACACACACACACACACACACACACACACACACACACACACACACACACACACACACACACACACACACACACACACACACAUACACACACACACACACACACACACACACACACACACACACACAC